CCGGUUUACAUCCACAUUGAACUGAGGGACCGUGAACAUGUUUAGUUUUGAAUUAAAUGGUUUCUGAUGUUUCCAAAGGGCAGGAUGCAGAAAUAUGGCAAGUUACCGACGUUCGAGCAAGUGUCUGAAAGGCAAGACUCAUUUUGUGGGAGAUUAUUGCUUGGUUUUAAAGUUUCUUCUAACAGCUGCAAUACGCAGGGCGAUCGUGUUUGUGAAGAAUUUUUUUUUUAAUAGAUUAAAAACACAAAUCAUCGCUGCUGUAGCUGGGUUCUUAGUCUAAUAUAAUGCAUGGCAAGUCACCUGGAUUGUGCACAAUAACAUAGUACAGGUACUCCAGACUUGCUUGUGAGCAGCACCCUCUUGUGUUUGUCCAGGGGAAAGGCGAUGCAGAGUCUGAGUAUCUGCGCUGUGAAGGCGCCAUUAAGAAUCUGAAACUGAAGAAAAUAGAUUGUGGACAAAAUAAAGGACAUCUGGAAAGAGGUGUUUUCUGCUGACCUGCAGGUGACAACGUACCCAGUCUUCCAGCAGAUCUUCUGUGUUUCCCUGUUUACACUCCUUUGUUACAACACUGCAGGAUACAUUUCCUUUAUUGGAUCCCCUUUGCACUUAUAGACCAGCCCAGACGGUGACCCUCUGUCGCUGUGUUGACAGAUGACACGCUUGCAUGGUUAUUUCAGGGGGAUGAAGGCAAGCAUUAAGCAGAGCCUUCUUGCUGAAAAACCAGGAACAGAUCCAGGAGCUGAUCCAAGCCACAGAAUCCCAG